AGGCGCAAUCAUACCAGCACUAAUGCACCGGAUCCCAUCAGAACGCCGCAGUUAAGCGUGUUUGGGCGAGAGUAGUACUAGGAUGGAUGAUCUCCUGGGUAGUCCUUGUGCUGAACCUCU
rnacentral:rRNA from 1 species